rnacentral:tRNA from 1 species
CGGGGUGUGGCGCAGCGGAAGCGCAUCGGCUUUGGGAGCCGAAGGUCGCCGGUUCGAGUCCGGCCGCCCCGACCA